rnacentral:rRNA from 1 species
UACGGGGGGGGCAAGCGUUGUUCGGAAUUACUGGGCGUAAAGGGCUCGUAGGCGGCCAACUAAGUCAUACGUGAAAUCCCUCGGCUUAACCGGGGAACUGCGUCUGAUACUGGAUGGCUUGAGUUCGGGAGAGGGAUGCGGAAUUCCAGGUGUAGCGGUGAAAUGCGCAGAUAUCAGGAGGAACACCGAUGGCGAAGGCAGGUCUCUGGGCCAUAACUGACGCUGAGAAGCGAAAGCAUGGGGAGCGAACAGG